rnacentral:rRNA from 1 species
GGCCCGGCACAAGCGGUGGAGCAUGUGGUUUAAUUCGAUGAUACGCGAGGAACCUUACCAGGGCUUAAAUGUAAGUUGCAUUAGUUAGAGAUAGCUAUUUCUUCGGACCACUUACAAGGUGCUGCAUGGUUGUCGUCAGCUCGUGCCGUGAGGUGUCAGGUUAAGUCCUAUAACGAGCGCAACCCCUGUUGUUAGUUGCCAGCGAGUCAUGUCGGGAACUCUAACAAGACUGCCGGUGCAAACCGUGAGGAAGGUGGGGAUGACGUCAAAUCAUCACGGCCCUUACGUCCUGGGCUACACACGUGCUACAAUGGUAGGGACAGAGAGCAGCCACUACGCGAGUAGGAGCGAAUCUAUAAACCCUAUCACAGUUCGGAAUCGGAGUCUGCAACUCGACUCCGUGAAGCUGGAAUC